rnacentral:rRNA from 1 species
UACGUAGGGUGCAAGCGUUAAUCGGAAUUACUGGGCGUAAAGCGUGCGCAGGCGGUUAUGUAAGACAGUUGUGAAAUCCCCGGGCUCAACCUGGGAAUGGCAAUGGAUACUGGCAAGCUAGAGUGCGGUAGAGGGUAGUGGAAUUCCCGGUGUAGCGGUGAAAUGCGUAGAGAUCGGGAGGAACACCAGUGGCGAAGGCGGCUACCUGGACCAGCACUGACACUGAGGCACGAAAGCGUGGGGAGCAAACAGGG